rnacentral:rRNA from 1 species
GACGAACGCUGGCGGCGUGCCUAAUACAUGCAAGUAGAACGCACAGUUUAUACCGUAGCUUGCUACACCAUAGACUGUGAGUUGCGAACGGGUGAGUAACGCGUAGGUAACCUGCCUGGUAGCGGGGGAUAACUAUUGGAAACGAUAGCUAAUACCGCAUAAUAUUAAUUAUUGCAUGAUAAUUAAUUGAAAGGUGCAAUUGCACCACUACCAGAUGGACCUGCGUUGUAUUAGCUAGUAGGUGAGGUAACGGCUCACCUAGGCGACGAUACAUAGCCGACCUGGGAGGGUGAUCGGCCACACUGGGACUGAGACACGGCCCAGACUCCUACGGGAGGCAGCAGGAGGGAAUCUUCGGCAAUGGACGAAAGUCUGACCGAGCAACGCCGCGUGAGUGAAGAAGGUUUUCGGAUCGUAAAGCUCGGUUGUAAGAGAAGAACGGGUGUGAGAGUGGAAAGUUCACACUGUGACGGUAUCUUACCAGAAAGGGACGGCUAACUACGUG